AGACUAAUUGAGAAACUCAAACUUUGAUUUGUGGUUGAUGCUAAAAUUUUUCAAGUACAUGGGUAUUUAUAGCUACUAGUACUAGUAGUAGUACUACUACUGCUAUUACUACCAAAAAUAUUAUUGCUACUGCUUCUACUACUGUUACUGCUACUCUGCAACUACUGUUGUUAUUGCUACUGCUGGUACAACUGCUACUACUGCUAAAUUUAGAUUUAAACAAUGUAUUAAAAUCAAUAAAAUUCAUAAA
rnacentral:lncRNA from 1 species